AGCUUUGUGAGUUUAUAUCAGUGUUGUUGUAGUUAGAAAGCUCGUAGUUGAGGAAGGAGGGUGGAAGAUGGGUUGUUUGUAUUUUGUAUGAAUGAUUCUAGUCACUCUUUUUUAGAGAAAUAUAUAUUACAUAUAUUUCUAUUUCAUUUUGAACAAAUUGGAAUGAUCCAAAUAGAAUAUAAUUCUUUUUACAAGCAUUAUACUUUUUUUGAUUUCAUUGACCUUUUUAGCAUGAGACGAUGAAAAAAGACUGUGAUGUUUUUUAUUUUUUUUGGGAAUGAAAAAUGAUUGUGGUAAUGAUGAAUAGGGACAAUUUGGGUUGAACAUAUUAAGACGUGAACGGUGAAAUGUGAGGAUCGUCUUAGGAUGAACAUAAGCGAAGGCAUUCAACAAGGGUGUUUUCA
rnacentral:rRNA from 1 species